rnacentral:lncRNA from 1 species
AUGCUGAGCGAAGCCGCAUCCCCGCCCACCUUAAGCAGGUCCUAUUUCAAGGGAACCAAGGGGCAGGACCAGAGAGGAGCUGCUCCCCAGCCUCCUCCACAGGCACAGGUCCGGGCUUCAGGACGCAGGUGGGAGAAGAGCCUGCAAGGAGUUCUCGGGGCCAGCACACAGGAGCAGAGAUCAAGUGAAACAGUCUCACCGACAAAGAUGUCUUUGCCUCCAAAGAUGAAAGAUCUCCACCUGGAGGAGAAAUACCUGCAACCGGAAACCAAGGAAGUGAAUGGAAUCCUCAUGACCAAGAUGAUAAGUGAUAACUGGGACAAAAUCUGGAAUUUUCAAGCCAAGCCUGAUGACCUUCUCAUUGCAACUUACGCAAAAGCAGGCACCACCUGGACCCAGGAGAUCGUGGACAUGAUCCAGAACGACGGGGAUCUGCAGAAGUGCCAGCGGGCCAGCACCUUUGAUCGGCACCCUUUCAUCGAGUGGACGCUCCCCCCGCCCCUCAACUCAGGUCUGGAUCUCGCCAACAAGAUGCCUUCUCCGAGGACUCUGAAGACUCACCUGCCUGUUCAGAUGCUCCCCCCUUCCUUCUGGAAAGAGAACGCAAAGAUCAUCUACGUGGCCAGGAACGCCAAGGACUGCCUGGUAUCCUAUUACCAUUUCUCAAGAAUGAAUAAGAUGGUGCCAGACCCUGGCUCCUGGGAGGAGUAUGUCGAGAACUUCAAAGCUGGGAAAGUGCUGUGGGGCUCCUGGUACGACCACGUGAAGGGCUGGUGGCACGCCAAGGACCAGCAUCGCAUCCUCUACCUCUUCUACGAGGACAUGAAGGAGGAUCCAAGGCGGGAAAUUCGGAAGAUCCUGAAGUUCUUGGAGAAAGAGGUGUCGGAGGAAGUUCUGGACAAAAUCAUCCAUCACACAUCCUUUGAGGUCAUGAAAGAGAACCCGAUGGCCAACUACACCACACUGCCCACCAGCAUCAUGGACCACUCCAUCUCCCCCUUCAUGAGGCGAGGAAUGCCUGGGGACUGGAAGAACUACUUCACAGUGGCUCAGAAUGAGGACUUUGACAAGGACUAUGAGAGGAAGAUGGCUGGGAGCACCCUGACUUUCCGCACAGCCCUCUGA